UACGUAGGGUGCGAGCGUUAAUCGGAAUUACUGGGCGUAAAGGGUGCGCAGGCGGCUUCGCAAGUCAGGCGUGAAAUCCCCGAGCUUAACUUGGGAAUUGCGUUUGAAACUACGAGGCUGGAGCGUGGCAGAGGGAGGUGGAAUUCCACGUGUAGCGGUGAAAUGCGUAGAUAUGUGGAGGAACACCGAUGGCGAAGGCAGCCUCCUGGGCCAACACUGACGCUCAUGCACGAAAGCGUGGGGAGCAAACAGG
rnacentral:rRNA from 1 species